rnacentral:rRNA from 1 species
CCCUUAGAUGUUCUGGGCCGCACGCGUGCUACACUGAGUGGAUCAGCGGGUCAGGUUGCGCGAAAGUGUUACCUAAUCUUGAAAUCCGCUCGUGAUGGGGAUUGACGGUUGCAAUUUUCCGUCAUGAACGAGGAAUACCUUGUAAGCGCGGGUCAUCAUCCCGCGCUGAAUACGUCCCUGCCCUUUGUACACACCGCCCGUCGCUCCUACCGAUUGAGUGGUCCGGUGAGGCUUUGGGAUCUGAGCGGAAAGAGCGUUUCGCUGUUUCUGCUCGGAAAACUCAGUCGAACCUUAUCAUUUAGAGGAAGGAGAAGUCGUAACA